rnacentral:rRNA from 1 species
UACGUAGGGUGCAAGCGUUUAAUCGGAAUUACUGGGCGUAAAGCGUGCGCAGGCGGUUGUGCAAGACAGAUGUGAAAUCCCCGGGCUUAACCUGGGAAUUGCAUUUGUGACUGCACGGCUAGAGUGUGUCAGAGGGGGGUAGAAUUCCACGUGUAGCAGUGAAAUGCGUAGAUAUGUGGAGGAAUACCGAUGGCGAAGGCAAUCCCCUGGGCCUGCACUGACGCUCAUGCACGAAAGCGUGGGGAGCAAACAGG